AGCGGAGGGAUCAUUACUGAGUUUUCGAACUCCCAAACCUUUGUGAACAUACCAUUGUUGCUUCGGCGGGAUCGUCCCGGGCGCGCCUCUUGGGGCGUGUUCCGGAUCCAGGCGCCCGCCGAGGGUAUCAAACUCUUGUUUUUAUAGUGGACUUCUGAGUAUCAUGAGAAAAUAAAUUAAAACUUUCAGCAACGGAUCUCUUGGCUCUGGCAUCGAUGAAGAACGCAGCGAAAUGCGAUAAGUAAUGUGAAUUGCAGAAUUCAGUGAAUCAUCGAAUCUUUGAACGCACAUUGCGCCCGCCAGUAUUCUGGCGGGCAUGCCUGUCCGAGCGUCAUUUCAACCCUCAGAACCCGUUCGCGGGAUCUGGUGUUGGGGAUCGGCCGUCCCUCGCGGCGGCCGGCCCCGAAAUGCAGUGGCGGCUCUACCGCGAACUCCUCUGUGUAGUAGUGAUACCUCGCAGCUUGGAUAGUGGUAUGGCCUCGCCGUAAAACCCCCAACUUUUUCAAGGUUGACCUCGGAUCAG
rnacentral:rRNA from 1 species